CGCGUAUAUUUGUUGAGUGAGUUCAUUACAGUUAAAAUAUAAUGAUGAAUUUUGUGAAAUCCGUAAAGAAAUAGAAAUAAAUAGGUUUAAUUACAUUUUUGGUCCUUGGAUUUUGACCAACUCACGAAAUUGGUCCUACCAUAUUUUUUACAAUUUUAGUCUUAUCUCCCUAUUUCCAACUCCAAAAAUGCACAGAAAUGACUACCUAUGUUCAACCAUGAAAUAAACAAGGAAUAAAUCAUGUGGUACAAAAAAUCUACUUUAUUCAGCAUAAUCAUUAGCAUAGUAACAAAAUGACACCGCACAAAAUAUUCUAAGAUAUAAUAUAUUGCUUAGAUCUAGUAAACUCUUGGGUCAAAAACAAGGAAUCGUCGGUGUUAACCCAUCCACAACGGUGGUUAACACACCUUACUUCAUAAGGAGGCAUACAAAUUUGUGGACAAUCGGCAUCAAUUUCACAUACAACAACUCCUGUAAUAAAAAAGAUAUAAUAAUGUUAUUAAAAUGAAAUAAAAGAUUAAGUAUGAAUUAAAGAAGGAAAAUCAAGAGAUGAUAUAAUGUUACCAUUAACUUGUAAAGUGAUAAUAAAUAUGGACAGAAAUGGAAUCAUAUUAUAAACAAACUUCAUAAUUUUAGCCAUGAUUUCUU
rnacentral:lncRNA from 1 species